rnacentral:rRNA from 1 species
AGAGUUUGAUCAUGGCUCAGAACGAACGCUGGCGGCGUGCUUAACACAUGCAAGUCGAGUGCGCGCCUGUAGCAAUACAGGUGGCGCACGGCGCACGGGUGCGUAACACGUAGGUAAUCUGCCCUCUGAUGGGGAAUAACUCGCCGAAAGGCGAGCUAAUUCCGCAUAACAUUCCGAGAACUUCGGUUUUUGGACUCAAAGGCGUAAGUCGUCGGAGGAGGAGCCCGCGCACGAUUAGCUAGUUGGUGAGGUAAUGGCUCACCAAGGCUAUGAUCGUUAGCUGGUCUGAGAGGAUGGCCAGCCACACUGGAACUGAGACACGGUCCAGACUCCUACGGGAGGCAGCAGUGGGGAAUCUUGCACAAUGGGCGAAAGCCUGAUGCAGCGACGCCGCGUGGGGGAUGAAGCUUCUCGGAGUGUAAACCCCUUUCGACCCGGACGAAUACCUCGCAAGAGGGGUGACGGUACGGGUAUAAGAAGCCCGGCUAACUACGUGCCAGCAGCCGCGGUA